rnacentral:lncRNA from 1 species
CGUGAAUUAAAUUAAUAAGACUUGAGAAAUUAAAAUUAAUAAAUUGGGUUUGAGAGCAAAAAUAUUAACAUGCAAAAUAAAGGUUGAUUCAAUUGACAAGUGAAAACAAUGGAUGAAUGNAUGNUGUUGGGUACUAACAAUUUCAUNUAUUCCACUCUCUCUUACAUACUACCCUUGAUUAUUAGAUUGAUUCAAUUGUUAUGNGACUUUCUUAGCCUCCUCUUAACCCGAUCCCUCGGCGAAAAGGGCCUAAUAUCAAUUACUGGCUUGCUAUCCCUAGCCUCCCCUAGUAAUUAAUACUGCAUUAUAAACAGAAGUUAGCGCAAUUGAUCGUCCUACCCCUAUCCCUAGGUGGUAUUGCAAAAUCAAGAGAUUACUCACCAGUUCAUGUCAUUAUCGCAUG